CCUACGGGUGGCAGCAGUGGGGAAUAUUGGGCAAUGGGCGCAAGCCUGACCCAGCAACGCCGCGUGAAGGAAGAUGGCUUUCGGGUUGUAAACUUCUUUUAAGAGGGAAGAGCAGAAGACGGUACCUCUUGAAUAAGCCACGGCUAACUACGUGCCAGCAGCCGCGGUAAUACGGAGGUGGCAAGCGUUGUCCGGAUUUACUGGGUGUAAGGGGCGUGUAGCCGGGCUGACAGGCAAGAUGGGAAAUUCCGGGCCUCAACCCCGGACCUGCAUUUGAAACUGUUGGUCUUGAGUAUCGGAGAGGCAGGCGGAAUUCCUAGUGUAGCGGUGAAAUGCGUAGAUAUUAGGAGGAACACCAGUUGCGAAGGCGGCCUGCUGGACGACAACUGACGGUGAGGCGCGAAAGCGUGGGGAGCAAACAGGAUUAGAUACCCGUGUAGUC
rnacentral:rRNA from 1 species